rnacentral:lncRNA from 1 species
UUCUUCAAAAGUCUUUCUCCCCUCCAGGUUCCUCUUCCUUAGCUUCUCCUCAGGGUCCUGAAGUGGUUAUUCAAUAACCAAUGAGACUACGUCUCAGCGAGUCCUACCCCCUACGACUCGAUUAGUAAACUAAUACACAAUACGGUUGCCUAAGCACAACACGAGUCAGAGGACUUACCUUGGCCUCAGUUCCCAACUGCAAUUCAAGGUUAAACACAGAUAUUCAAACAAUUCACGACAUUCGAUCAAGCACUGGUCAAUCGACUAAGUCGAUUACAUGUCAGCCAGACCCUUUCUAGGUCAUUCCCACUCAUACCACGAUUUCCCAGUGGUGUACUCAUUCACCAAAUCACAUGUGUUUCUCGGGCGUCGUUUUCGCCAAUGACAUACCGAUCACUGACACCGUGCGUUCUUUAAGGCGCCAUUUUCACCAGUGAUAUCCUCGAUCACCGAACCACGUGUCCUUUCAAGGGCGCCGUUUUCGCCAAGGUGACAUCGGCUAUAGACAACAUCGUGAGUUCUUUAAGGCGCCGUUUUCACCAGUGAUAUUCCCAUAACCACCGAACCACGUUUGUCUAUAAGUCAUUUACGUGCGUUCUUUAAGGCGCCGUUUUCACCAGUGAUACUUCCAAUCACCGAACCACGUAUGUCCAAUAACAUCGUACCUAAUUGGUCUCAACCAAUAAUGUUCACAGUUAGCUCUCACCAUUCUCCCUACUAUAUAGCCCAUCAACGUACUGGCGCUAUAUACCCAUGCUUGGCCAUUACCAAUCAAAUAUUCAAUAACAAACAAUUUAGGACAAUUCCUAAAAUUCCACAAUAAAUUCAAUUCCACACAACGUAGAGCUCAAAUAAAUAAACGAACUGCACCACGACAAUCAGCACGAAAUUCCGGUCACCGGCCAUCUCGGUUGAAUUUCCGGAAAAAUAAAUAAAUAAUUAAUUAAUUUCGAAAAUAAAUAAAUAAAUAUUAAAAAUCCAAUUUAGGCCCAUAUUGCCUUAUUGGAGCCCGAAACGGGUCGGGAAAAAUCCCGAGAUGCAUUCAAUAAAUAACCAAACCUUUGUACUUGCUAAUAGCUAGGUCUAACCACCUAUCAUGCAUCAUUAAGUCACUAAAUUAAUUGUUCUAACCUAAUCUAACCACCUAAGUGCAUGUAAUUAAAUCUAACCAACCCUAAGGCAUAAUUAGCAAACUAAUAAAGCAUUAUUGAGUAAAACUCACUUGGCAAAAGCGGAGACCGAAUCACCGCGACGGCGACGCGACGGCAGCCGAAAUCGGACUUUCGACAACACCGGCGGACUUAGACCGGGCCUUUAACUUGGGCCCAACAAAUCUCAGCCAAACUAAGAUUUAUUACUGAAAUGGGCCAAGCUUGACUGAAAUAGCACUUGCUGGGCUUCUUGGGCCGCAGGACUUCAAAGACUGGGCUGACUUGUGAAAAUAAUCAACUUGCUGGGCUGAGCUUGGGCCAAAACUUCUGCUGACUUGGCCUCAAUGGGCUGCUGUUGGUGUAAUAUUUGAAUGGGCUUGAAGACUGCACUAUGGCCCGAAAUUACUGGCUUUACUGGGCCUGAGGAUUGCUGGAUUUCACGACCUGCUUCAAUGGCUUCGCUUGCCACUGGACUGAAGGAUUGCUGGACUGAAGCUUCGGUUUGGGCUGAGGACACGCGUGCAGCUGGUCGUGGGAGUAUGCGGUCAAUUGACCGAUCGAUGCUGCCCUCGGUGAACUGAUUUGUGAAUAAACGAAGGUGGAGCUGGCCACGUGAGGAACUUCGGGCGCUGAAGAUGGAGAGGAAAUUGGAUUUGCUUCGUGGCAGGGCUUCGCUCGGUGGGGGAUUUCCUCGGUCAAUCUUCAAUGGUUUUCAGCUGGACUUUGACCAGUGAAAUCGACCGAAACAUGGCAGAGAUGGGGAGCGGCUUCGGUUGCUGGAUUUGCGUGGGCGAGGACUUGGUUGAAUCGGUGGUCUUCUGAGGGCGUUGGAGUUGACUGGCGGGCUGGCGUCGAGCUGAGGGCACACCACAGGGGAAGACUGAAGAUGGGAGCUGCUCGUGGGCGCUGCUUCGCUGGCCUCGGUCUUCGUGAACUCCACGAUAUGCACGGGCUGAAGACAUUGGACUCGGUGGAGCUGCUGCAGGGAUCUUCGCUGGCGUUGCAAGGUCAACCGAAUGGGAGAAACUCUGCUGCUAUUGACGGAAGAUCCACAGGACAUGGACAAGUGGCGAGGAGCAGCUUAAAUUGAAGAUCUCGUAGCUGGCGUGAGUGGAGUGUGUGUGGGCUUUCCUUUGAUGCAAGCUGACCGAAGAUUGAAGAAGCUGGAUUCUUUUCUCUCUGCUGGUGCUGGCGUCGCACGAAGUAAUCGGGAGAGAAGGGGGGUCGAUUGAGCUUGAGAGAAAUAAAAGAGAUGGAUAGGAAUGAG